UAUAAUUGAAAAUGUCAUAAUUUGCAAUACAUGUACUAAUUGUUUAUGUUUAGCCCGUCACUGGCAAUUCUAUAGAUGUUCCACAAAACCUGGCUCAUCCAAAGCUAUACCUAGAAUAUUCCUUGAACAAGAUCACUGGGAGAAUUGUGUGCGACGGAAAAGUUUCCUUGGCUGGAUGUUCAAUGGUGGAAUGCUUGGAUUAAAUCUUAAUUGUUGGAGUAUCAGUUGUACGUAUCCACAAGAUAAUUGUAUAUAAAGUAGUUAGUUGUUAAGUUUAAACUAAACUUCGGUUUUCAGCCAAGUACCCCUUGUUUUUAUUUUUCAUUGAUGCUCAGAUUACGACUAAGGUUACGGCUGCUAUUAAAGCAUUGAUCUUUUUGUUACCGAUGACUGGAAACGAAUGGUUAACGGCAAAGAAUUUAAACAGUACAAAAUUGAACUAUUAAUUUUUGUUAUAAAAGUUCAUUAUAUAGUGUAAAUUCACUUUUUAAACUGAACUAACAAAUUUUGUUGUUGUUGUUGUCCUGUAUAUAUAUAUUUAUUAUUGUUUAAAAUGUAACUAUGCCAAUCUUAAGUUGUGAUCUCGACAUUUAUAAAUUUUUACUGUGUACUAUUUGUAGAUUACAGUUAUUAAUAUUCAUAUGUA